UGAACAUUGAUGCAAAAAUCCUCAAUAAAAUACUGGCAAACCGAAUUCAGCAGCACAUCAAAAAGCUUAUCCACCUGACACCUGUCUUAUUGCCCGCUUCUUGCCUGUGCAGUCUUGUGUACCAUCAACAUCUGGUUUGUUCCACUUUACAAAUGCACACAGCAGUGAAGGCUGCUACUGGCACUGGGAUUCUUUGCAUCCACCUCAAUAGCUGAAGCCUCCUUGGGGCCCUUGGGUGAUGUAACAAGUUGCAGGUGCCAUCAGAAUUUGGAGGCCAAAAAAGUAAUGGUGGUGGUCCAAGGUGGACAUCUGUCAAAUGGGUAGUUUGAAAGAUGGAUUCAGGAGCUGAGAUGCUGUGUCUAUUAUGGAUGUUGAGACAGAGAAUCAUGUUAUCUAACUUUUGGGAAGAGUGGAAAACGUCAUCUCGUCCCACAACUGCCAGGAGCGAUGCAAUGGAGGAUUCGAAAUCACGUGCCGCGACAAGCUAGAGUUACUCCUCCAAGCCACCAGGUGUCACUGGUGUGCCAAGGCGGCAACGAAGCCAAGUUUUCCCGGUGGAUGCGGACACUGGAAACCAGCAAUCCUUUUAGUUCCCCAACCUGGUUGCCCAUCAGAAUUCCUUGAGAAAUUUAAAUAAUAAUUCUUGGAAAUCACUUCAGACCCACUGAAUCAAUCGAGGCCCAGAAGUGAGUAUCUAAAAAAAAUUGUUAUAUGGAAAUUGUCAUUAUUUGGGAUGUGUGUGCUGGGGGAUUGCUGCUGUAUAUUAUAUCUCUAUUUAAAUAAAUGUCCCAGGUGAUUCUGUA
rnacentral:lncRNA from 1 species